rnacentral:rRNA from 1 species
AACGAACGCUGGCGGCAUGCCUAACACAUGCAAGUCGAACGAGACCUUCGGGUCUAGUGGCGCACGGGUGCGUAACGCGUGGGAACCUGCCCUUAGGUUCGGAAUAACUCCCCGAAAGGGGUGCUAAUACCGGAUAAUGUCUUCGGACCAAAGAUUUAUCGCCUUUGGAUGGGCCCGCGUUGGAUUAGCUAGUUGGUAGGGUAAAAGCCUACCAAGGCGACGAUCCAUAGCUGGUCUGAGAGGAUGAUCAGCCACACUGGGACUGAGACACGGCCCAGACUCCUACGGGAGGCAGCAGUGGGGAAUAUUGGACAAGGGGCGAAAGCCUGAUCAAGCAAUGCCGCGUGAGUGAUGAAGGCCUUAGGGUUGUAAAGCUCUUUUACCCGGGAUGAUAAUGACAGUACCGGGAGAAUAAGCGCCGGCUAACUCCGUG